CAGCCGCCGCGGGAAUACGAAGGGGGCUAGCGUUGCUCGGAAUGACUGGGCGUAAAGGGCGCGUAGGCGGUUUUGACAGUCAGAUGUGAAAUUCCUGGGCUUAACCUGGGGGCUGCAUUUGAGACGUCAAGACUAGAGUGUGAGAUAGGGUUGUGGAAUUCCCAGUGUAGAGGCGAAAUUCGUAGAUAUUGGGAAGAACACCGGUGGCGAAGGCGGCAACCUGGCUCAUUACUGACGCUGAGGCGCGAAAUCGUGGGGAGCAAACAGGAUUAGAUACCCCCGUAGUCCCUGUCUCUUAUAC
rnacentral:rRNA from 1 species